ACAAGACGUUGAGCUCCUUUCCAUUGGAGCUGGGAUUCUUGGGGUUGGUGGUGGUGGCAAUACCUACCACGGUUUAUUCAGAGUUCUGAGUCAGAUUGAUCAGGGCAAGAAGGCCACUGUCAUUCCACCUGACGCUCUCCCA
rnacentral:ribozyme from 1 species